AUGGGAAGGCUGGGCGACAAGUCCGACUAUGAGAGCAUCCGCGAGGCCCGCAUCUCGGAGAACAUGGCCCGGAUGGAGAUGCUCGGCCUGCGCCGCUGCGCCGGGGAGCUGAGCGCCAUCUCCUCCGCCCCCUCCCCCCGCGCCGGGAGCGUCACCCCGAGGAAGACCCCGAAGCCGCCGCGGGUCCUCACCCCGCUCCGCCGCUCGGGCCGCCUGAUUGCCGCCGCGACGCCGCCCGGCUCCGGCUCUCGCCGCUCCGCGCGGCUCAACGGGGACUCCGUGCAGCACAAGGCGCUGCCCUACAGAGGAGCGGACGCCGAGGAAGAGGAGCAGGAGGAGAAGCGUCCCAUGUACAUCGACAAGGAGAGGCUGCGGGUGCUGCAGGAGACGCGGUGCGACAGCAAGGCGAGGGGGUCCGUGUACGACCCCGUUCUCGGGAUCUGCUGCCAUUUCUGCAGGCAGAAGAAACUCUGCGGCGAGGAGGGCUGCAAGCGCUGUGGGGAAGGAGACUUUGAGCAGCAAUGCAUAGGGAAGACGGAGUGCUCCUCUUGCCAUUCCUCCUAUGGGAUCCUCUGCCGUGCUUGCCUUAAAGUUAGGUACGGUGAAGAGAUGGAAGAGGUCAGGAAGAACAAGAAGUGGAUGUGCCCUCACUGUGUUGAGGAGAAGGGUACCAAGAAAUUCUGGAUAUGCAACAGCUCCAUCUGCUUGAAGAAGAGGAAGAUAGCACCAACCGGGAUCGCCAUAUUCCAAGCGCGUGAGCAAGGAUAUGCGUCGGUCGCACACCUUCUCAUGGACCAGCUGAAGAGCCGCGGAUCAUUCUGA
rnacentral:rRNA from 1 species